CUCGUCUUCAUCAGGACCCCUUUACAACCCUUCUUCAUAAACCAACCUGUGCUCCUUCGUAUGCCCUCUAGCCACCUCCUGACAAACAUCCUGGCACAUCCUGCAUCAGUUUGAGCAGCGCUUUGAGUUCUCCAGUUUAAAAUAAAUUAUUUAUUUUCUUA